UGGGGAAUAUUGCACAAUGGGCGCAAGCCUGAUGCAGCCAUGCCGCGUGUGUGAAGAAGGCCUUCGGGUUGUAAAGCACUUUCAGCGGGGAGGAAGGCGAUAAGGUUAAUAACCUUGUCGAUUGACGUUACCCGCAGAAGAAGCACCGGCUAACUCCGUGCCAGCAGCCGCGGUAAUACGGAGGGUGCAAGCGUUAAUCGGAAUUACUGGGCGUAAAGCGCACGCAGGCGGUUUGUUAAGUCAGAUGUGAAAUCCCCGGGCUCAACCUGGGAACUGCAUCUGAUACUGGCAAGCUUGAGUCUCGUAGAGGGGGGUAGAAUUCCAGGUGUAGCGGUGAAAUGCGUAGAGAUCUGGGGGAAUACCGGUGGCGAAGGCGGCCCCCUGGACGAAGACUGACGCUCAGGUGCGAAAGCGUGGGGAGCAAACAGG
rnacentral:rRNA from 1 species